UGGGGAAUAUUGCACAAUGGGCGCAAGCCUGAUGCAGCCAUGCCGCGUGUAUGAAGAAGGCCUUCGGGUUGUAAAGUACUUUCAGUCGGGAGGAAGGUGUCAAGGUUAAUAACCUUGGCAAUUGACGUUACCGACAGAAGAAGCACCGGCUAACUCCGUGCCAGCAGCCGCGGUAAUACGGAGGGUGCAAGCGUUAAUCGGAAUUACUGGGCGUAAAGCGCACGCAGGCGGUUUGUUAAGUCAGAUGUGAAAUCCCCGGGCUCAACCUGGGAACUGCAUCUGAUACUGGCAAGCUUGAGUCUCGUAGAGGGGGGUAGAAUUCCAGGUGUAGCGGUGAAAUGCGUAGAGAUCUGGAGGAAUACCGGUGGCGAAGACGGCCCCCUGGACGAAGACUGACGCUCAGGUGCGAAAGCGUGGGGAGCAAACAGG
rnacentral:rRNA from 1 species